rnacentral:rRNA from 1 species
UGGGGAAUAUUGGACAAUGGGGGGAACCCUGAUCCAGCCAUGCCGCGUGUGUGAAGAAGGUCUUCGGAUAGUAAAGCACUUUAAGUUGGGAGGAAGGGCAGUAAGCGAAUACCUUGCUGUUUUGACGUUACCGACAGAAUAAGCACCGGCUAACUCUGUGCCAGCAGCCGCGGUAAUACAGAGGGUGCAAGCGUUAAUCGGAAUUACUGGGCGUAAAGCGCGCGUAGGUGGUUCGUUAAGUUGAAUGUGAAAGCCCCGGGCUCAACCUGGGAACUGCAUCCAAAACUGGCGAGCUAGAGUAGGGCAGAGGGUGGUGGAAUUUCCUGUGUAGCGGUGAAAUGCGUAGAUAUAGGAAGGAACACCAGUGGCGAAGGCGACCACCUGGGCUCAUACUGACACUGAGGUGCGAAAGCGUGGGGAGCAAACAGG